rnacentral:rRNA from 1 species
ACGAACGCUGGCGGCGUGCUUAACACCUUCAAGUCGAACGGAAAGGCCCUGCUUUUGUGCGGUGCUCGAGUGGCGAACGGUUGAGUAACACUUGAGUAACCUGCCCUUGACUUUGGGAUAACUUCAGGAAACUGGGUCUAAUACCGGAUAGGCUCUCCUGCUGCAUGGUGGGGGUUGGAACGUUUCGGCGGUUGGGGAUGGACUCGCGGCUUAUCAGCUUGUUGGUGGGGUAGUGGCUUACCAAGGCUUUGACGGGUAGCCGGCAUGAGAGGGUGACCGGCGACAUGGGGACUGAGAGACGGCCCAGACUCGUACGGGAGGCAGCAGUGGGGAAUAUUGCACAAUGGGGGGAAGCCUGAGGAAGAAACGCUGCGUGCGGGAUGAAGGCCUUCGGGUUGUAAACCGCUUUAGCCUGUGACGAAGCGUGAGUGACGGUAAUGGGUAAAGAAGCACCGGCUAACUACGUG